rnacentral:snRNA from 1 species
AUUGCUUCUUGGCCUCUUGGCUAAGAUCAAGUGUAGUAUUCCAUUUAUAGUUAUACUAUAAUAAAAUUUGUAACCACCUAAA